ensembl:lncRNA
CCUGCCUGGUGGCCUCCUGGAGGUCUGGCCUCUGCUGGGCCCUGCAGCUCCAGGACUGAGGCUGGAGCCUUGAUGAAGGAGGAUGAACCGCAGCUCUGCGGAGAAACCUCUCUUUCCUUGUGGGGGCCCCGGCUGAGGCAAGGAAAUCAUCUGUUUUGCUCCAGAACCUCCCAGUGAUGGUGUGCACGUGCCGCUUUUGAGUCAGAGAAAUGUACCAUUUUCAUAGGUGGUUAGAAGGCUUCAGGAGGAAGGGGAAAGGAGAAGCCAUCCCUGGUUGGAAAUUUAUGGAUCCUUUUUUUUUUUUUUCCUACGGCUCUGGACAGUGAAUAAUAGGAGUGUAAACAUUCAAUUACUGUGAUAAACCAUCUCAUCGAAUGUCUCUGGCCCAGUCUCCUCUCUAAUUGGAUUGGCCUCUGGCAGGUUACUCUGGUCUGAGUAGCUCCCAGGGGCCAGAGGGGUGAAGAACCUGGAGGGUUCCUUCUCCUCCCGCUCUACCAGCCACGAAGCUCGCUCUGGGAAGACCUGACUGCUGCCACUGUGGCCUCUCCAAGCAUCCCAGAGAACCCACUCUUUUCCUGGCUCUGUCAGCCCCUCACCUCCCACCCUCCCACCCCCCUCAACUGGAAAGAGUGCCCUGGAGUGCUUGUGGGGAUAAGAGUUCAGCUUUUAAAUGUGGAAUUUAAAAAUAGCUUGAGUGUUUAGCCCUGUGGGCCACUGCUUUUAAUAAAUGGAGAAAAAUAAAAAGGCAAUAUGCAGUUACAGAUUUCAGCUGAAGGCCUCCUGUGGUAGGGGAACUCAGAAGGGCUGCCCAGUGGAGCCAAGGCCUUUGGGCCUGCUGAAUGGAAGAAGGAUUGGGGGAGGGGGGUACACAGAGCAGAAUAUACUGGAAUGGGGAGUGGGAUCAGUCUAGGAAUCUUGGCUUUGACAACCCCUCUGAUGCAGUUGGGUCUCACAGAAGGAGCCCUUGCUCCUGGUGCAGAGGAUGACCACAAGUAGCGGGGAGACUCCGGCUUAUCCUUGUAAUCCUGUUUCAAAAGCCAUUUCUUUGGAGAAGCCUCAGCCUUCUUCUGAAUACUCCUUAUAUAGUCAUUUGUGUACCUACUGUAGGGUGGUGGUCAAAACACAGAUUGGGAGCUAGUUUCUAUACCUUCAUAGAACUGCAGUGAGGAUUUUGCAGGUUAAUAUCUAUACAUCAAAUGUUGAAAGCUCAUUUCAGCAUUACCAUAGCUCGCUCUAGUAUAUGCUCUAUGUUGUUCCCAUAGUGUCCAACAUCUAGUAUUUAGCUAAACAAGGGAAUGAAAGAUCUCCAUCCAAAAACUGUAAACGUAGCAUGUGGAGGGCCCAAUGAGUCCGGCUGCUGGAAUUCAUACUGUGCCAUUGGUUUCAAGGGAGUUGGUCCAUGUGUGAUUCGGAUAUUGGUGAACCCAGUCUUCUGGCACUACCCAAUGGCUGGCCUUCUGGAGAGUGUGUCCCAGUAAUUCUGACCCCAAAGGGACCUCGGAAUGAAAGGGUACUGGAGCCUCCUGCCUGGGAAUCUGCUAACCUGGCCAUUUCCUUUGGCCAUGCCAGUUGGCACCCUUCCUGUGUGUGCAUGCAUUAGUAUAGAAGCAGCCUGGGCCUUCAUCCUUCUUGGACCCUCCAGAGGCUCCAGAAAAUGCAGCCAGGGGUUGAGUUCCAUUGGAAGAGUAGCUUCUGCAUGGGAUCACCGUGCCUGGAUGGGGCUGAACUAAACUUCGAGUUGGGCUGAAGCUGGGUGGAGUGUGCUGAAAUCCCCAGUUCUUACUUACGGGAUCUGCAUUUGCAUUCAAAGCAACAUUCAGGAUACCGUGAGACUGUGAGCUCAUUUUAUGAAUCAGAAGCAUUACAGCAUAAGUUCGGUGUUGGAAACUGCUCUUUGGAAUCCAGAUCACCUUCCUUCCACCCCUAACAACACGCACACUUAUAGGGCCCUCACGGUCACAUACCUGGGAACAAUAACAGUUAGCAGGGCAGUAGCAGUUCAGAUUCCAGAGCCAUCAGGCAAAACUUGUCCACACCUACUUCCGUCCCCACACUCCGAGCACCACUCCUGGAUGGCGUGUGGACAGUAGCUGGACAGUGAUUCUGAAGGAAGCCUGGAAGGCACAAGUGAACGAGGCCCCGGCCGACCUGGGUUUGUUCUUCAGCUUCCCUGCUUGCCGUGUGGCUCAGCGUUGAUUACCUUCCUGGACCUCAGUUUCCCCACCUAUAAAAUAGGGAGAAUAAUAAUUCCUCAUGGGGUUGCUGUGAAGGUUGAACAAGAUCAUGCAUGCAAAGUGACUGACCUGUAGCAGGUACUCAACAGAUGACAGCUAGCAUCUCACCACUUCCUCCCGCAGCCAGCUCCUGUGUGCCUUUUGCUCUUUCCAGGGAGGGGGAUAGGAAAGGUGUGCUGCUUGUGAUAGGAGGGUGCCCAGAUUCCAGGCCACUGGGGCUUGUGGAAAUAAAACUCCUGUUCGAAUUUCCUAAGCCUUGGGCGGAACUGCAUGAUACACUCCUGCCUAGACCAGCCCAGACCCUGCUGCCUGGGUCCUUUUGCAAGGGGUUGUGUUCCUGCAGCCGAUGGUUAAGGGCUCAACUUCCCAGAGAUCAGACUGCUCUCAGGAACCUACACGCCCAGGCCUCAGGCGGAACUGCUCACGUGGGUGGGAGGAAGGCUGCUUUCUCAGUCAGGGAAAAAGUCCCCUUGUCUUUGCUUCACCUGAAGCCUCUCAGUGUGACCUCAGUGGAGGUUUGGGGUGGAGCCUGGGGUGGGAGUUGCUCCUAAGAGUGCCUUGGGUCUUUCAGCAAUUGAAGUAGCAGAGGCAGAGUGGGAGGGUAUGUGUGGGAGGGCCACCAAGGUAUUAUUAUAUAAGAAGAAAGUUGCCACGUGUGGGAAGAGAGCUGGGGUUCUGCAGGGGUGAGGGUCGGGGGCUUCCUGAGGGACUGGACUUGCUAGCUGUGGUUUUCGGGGACGGGUGGGGAGGACAGGGAGCUGGAGGCCGGAGGCGUCCCUGGCAGUGGUUGUUGAUUGUGCUCUUCCUGGAAUAGAGCCUGGUACUAUGGCCAGGCGGAAGGCGCUCCCUGUACCCUCUGCCUUUCUCUCCAGCCACAGGGAGCUCGCGGUGAGAGCUAUUUUUUUCUAGGCAAUGCUUCUUUCUCCAGGAGUCUCAGGAACGGAGGAGGGGAGCAGCCAGGGCAGGUUUGUCCAGGUCUAAGCUUGGAGAGAGGGAAGUACAAUAAAUAGGCUUGCAGCCAGAAGAGGUUUCCCUCUGGAAGGCCACCCAUCUCCUCCGGGGAGGUGGGGUCAAGAGAGAAAGGCAAAUGGUGAGGGAUUUCGAUUCCUAGCUUUUUCCAGCACCCGGGUGGACAGAGGCCCUAAGCCAGCCUUCUGUUGCCAGAAUUUGCCAGCUGUUUGGAGGGGAAGGCCCUGGAGCUCAGAAAGGAGCUUAGAAACAGUCAGAGUAAUAACUCAGAGUCCCAAGAGUGCGUGUGGGCUGGCCUCCCUCUGCCUUCCUCCCGCUUUUCCUCCACCUUCUCCUCUUCUUCCCAGCCUGCUGGCAGCUCAUGGGGCACACCUGGCUGGCCUCGGAUCCUUUUUCCUACCUGACCUGGCUCUGUCUGACCCCCCCAGCCAGCCCUGGAUCAUUGUUCUGGGCUCCCCAGCUUCCAGGAGUCAUCCCAGAGCUGGAAAAACACUUUGAGACAGUCCUUCAUGUUCAGAGAGGGAAGCUGGAAAGCAGCGAGUUCCUUGAGGUUCCACGGACUGUCCCCACUUUCGCUUUAGGAAGGGGGAUAGGCUCCUGUGUCCUGUCCCUGGUCCACUACCCUGCCCCUCCCAGUUUAGAAAUGGGGAAGGGCCGCUUCAGUGCAGGAAGAGCCCAGAGGAAUACUGUCUCGGCUCCUGGGUGUGGCCCCGUCUUCGGCUGGCUCCAUAGUUAUUUAUUUGUCUGUGUGUGUAUGUGUGAGUGAGUUUUGCGGUUGGGAGACUGGAUCUGACUGAAAGCAGAAGUACCCACGCUCUGUGCGCUCUGCAGCAUGCAGAUUGGCCGGAACAGGACAGUCAGGAGAGGAAGACAUGGGCAGAGGCCCUUCUGCUAGGUGGCUGCUGCUGCUCUUUUUAAUUCCUGCUCAGCGCUUGCACACUUGAGCAUAAACAGCCCUUCCAUGUUGCUAGCAGCUGCCUUUCCUUGCUGGCUUUGGGCAGAAGAGCUGCCAAAAAUAACCAGGCGGGCACUUCUACUUGUGGGACACUCACUGUGGUGGCCUUGGGGCAGGCCUCCUUGCUCCCUGCAGGCCCCAAGGGCCUCCGGCUUCCGUGCCCAGACUGUCUGUGGCUGACUGCACCCCCCUCCCAAGACUCCCUCAGGUGAUGGCACUUUCCCUUUUAUUGCUUUGAGAGGGAGCCCAGGAGAGUGGAGGCACUAUUACGUGCUUGGAAGCCCUGCCAGGUGUCAUCCAGGGGCUCUUGUCCCACUGUGUCCCUGCGGGCCCUGUUGACACAGCUGGGGAAGUCUGGGGAGGCCUGUGCUGAGUGCUCCCCCUAGGCGCCUGGGCCAGACGCCUGCAGAGCCCCGCGCUGUUGCCAGGACUCCUGGUCCCCCUCCUCUUCCGCCUGGCCAGUCCUGCUCUCAGCUGACUGGGGAACUGGAAGGGUCAGGCCAUUUUGUUGCCCUCCAGGUGUUGAAGAUGAAUCAUGAAUGAUCUGCCCCUGCCCAGCAAGGGCGAAUGAAUUCAUACUUAUUGAGCUCUUACUUUGUGCCAGACACUUCAUAUAUAUACAUAUAUAUAUAUAAAACCCUCAUUUAAUCCUACAGUAAUACAUGGUAAAGAUAUUAUGCCCAUUUACUGGUAGGGAAACUGAGGCCCACAGAGAGGCAGGUGAUUGGAGAAGCUGGGACACUUUCUGUUUGACCCCAAAGCCCUGUCUUUUUAUCAGGCAGCUCCCACACCUCUCCUGGUUGUUUUCACGUGCACAGGGAACAAUGCUUUGACCCUUGGAAUGAAGUGUUGAUGGUAGGAAUUCAGGCACCAUUAGACUGGCUGAUAGGGGAAAUAUUUUGGGCAGGGAAGGGUGGGGAAGACCCCUCUGAGGCCUCUCUCUCUGAACUUUACAGGCCAGCCGGAAGCCCAGCCUGAGCCACCAGGCCCUGCUGCGGAGGUCUAUAGACACAUAGGGAUCAGCUCUGUGUGUGUUUGUGUGUGUGUUGGGGGUGGGUGGGCAGUGGUGGAUUGCUGGGAAGUCACUCAUGCAUGAGAGGAGUGGAAAGUAAGUUUAGGCCUCCCAGAGACCUUCUAAGCAUCUCCUCCUCCCCAAAUAUCCCAGCCACUGUUUGUCCUGAGAACAGCUCUGGGGCCACAGGUUGGGGUUAGGUGGGAUCUUGGGCCCCCCUUCCUGGCUAUAUCGUUCCAGCUGACUUGGCCCAGGUCCCAGAGAGCCCGGUUGGUGUGUACUUGAGCCUUGGGCUGGAUGCUCUGCCGGUGCUGGGUGCCAAAGGCCUCUGGGUGUAUUUCAGGAACAAUAAAGAAUAAAUCAACACAGGAGAAAAGGGCCUGCAGCAGCUGCUCAGAGACCCGGAGAAACGCAAGGAAUGUGUGAGCUUUUGGCAGAGGCCCUGCAUCUUGACCGGGGGCUGAGAAAGGCCAUGACACUGACUGGACGGCUGGACGAGUGAGGCAUGUGCCUGCUCUGCAGCCCAUCUGGGAGGCCCCGGGCAGCCAUGCUGAGAGCCCGCAUGCUUGCUGGCAGCAAGGUUUUGUGCUUCUUGAUCACUGACAGGUACUGGAGAGCCAUAUUGCAUAUUGUCCCCAUUCUUAUCCUCCAAACCAGCAGGGUGCCCCCUAAAAAAAAAAACAAAACUCCCUUCCCUCCCCCGCACCAGGCCAUCAGGUAGGUGUUGGUUCCUUCUAGGGUGGGCCAGGCGGGAUAAGCAGGGCCGAUGAAGAUACACACCUAGACACCCGCCUCCCCUUCCUCCCAAGAAGGAGAGGCUGCAGUGGCAGGUCUGAGAGAGCACUGAGUCUGGGAACAUCCCCUGGGGAUCCUGACUGUGUGUUCUUGGCCAAGUCACGUUACCUCUUGGGAUUUCAGUCCCAUCAGCCAUGAAAUCAAGAUUCGGACCAAUGGUUUUUGGGGUGGCCUUGAGCAUCUGUCUCCUUUACUCAGGAUGCACGGUGAACAAUCUUUAUUUGGAGAUUUCACUUCUUGCAAAGAAACCCUUCUGAGAGUCCCAUGCAGAGAGGUGCCGGGGCUGAUGCUCGGCGCCCUGGGUGGGGGCCAUUGGCACUAGUAAGGAACCCAAGCAUGGACUGACUUGACCCAGAUUUCAGGGUGCCAGAGGGAGGGGGCAGGAACCCCAGGCCCCCAUGGGGAUUUGAGGCAAGUCACGGCUUUAUUUUUAAAGAGCUGUUGGCCGACCGUGGGUGUGGGGCUGGAGUGUGUGGGAGGGAUGUGGCUUCCUCUUAAACUGAAGAUGUUGAGCUUUACAAGUUGGCCCAGUGAUGGUAAUCACCAGUAGUAGUAGAAUCUUCAUCUUCAAAAGCCACUCGCCUCCCAGGCCUCGCUCACUCACCUUCCCUGACCAGCCACACUUCCAGGACAUGACAGCAGUUUUCAGGCCAGCUGAAGCCAGGGAGAAGAUGGAAACAGCCCAGAAGCUGCUGCCAUCCAUCCCAAAGAGCCUGAGGCGCACCCCAGCAGGAGACUGAGCCUGCGGCCCUGCAGACGGGGCUCUGGGUUCCAGUCCUGGCGUAGCCUCUGUACUGCUGUGACCUCAGCUCUUCAGGUGCCUCUCUGAGAAGGGAGAGUGUCGUCAUACCCACCUUAUCUUGAGGAUUUAACGGGCUCCUGGGUGUAGGGUGCUCAGCACCAUGCUUGGCACACAGUAGUGCCCUCUAGAAAUGUCGGAGGUAGUGAUGAUGGUGAAAUAGAAACCUUAUUUUUGCGAUGUUGGGCUCCAAGCCCUGCCUCAUAUCUUGCCAAAAGGUGGGGCCUCCUAAAUGGUGGCAUGAAGUAUUGUUAUUGGCGUCCUUGAUUCUUGGUCCGGGCUGUGUAUCUGCAGGCAAGUUUCUUUCCUUUUCUGGGCUCUUUGUGGAAUUGAAUCGAGUGAACUGUGACAUCUCUUGAGAUUUGAAAUCUGUUUAGCUUCCCCCGCUGUUGCUCUGCUUUGGUGGUUGGCUCUGAAGAGAGGCACAAGCCACCUUUCUCCAUGUGGUGUGGAGACCCUUAAUCCAGAGGGUGAUCUUGCUGACUCUGCAGCUCCCAACUCAUCCCCAUAGUCCUCCCACCUCAAAGCACUAUGGGCUCUCCUAACUUCGAAGAGGGUCUUGAGAUGCUCGUGAUUUUGAGGGAGACUAUUCCUGCAGACCGGGGCUGGGAUUAUUUUUUGAGGGAGACUGUUCCUGCAGACCGGGGCUGGGAUUAUUUUUUGAGGGAGACUGUUCCUGCAGACCGGGGCUGGGAUUAUUUUUUGGGAGGGAGUCUUAUAUACUAUGUUCUACUUGGAAAUGGCCCUAGGAAAAGCAGCAGUUCUAUGAGGAAACAUGAGAAAGUGGAGGGUCUACAGCUGGCUUUGUGGGGUUCUCAUGUGUAGCAUUCCUUCUGAAGCCCACAACAUGAUUUGAGACUUUUACCUGGAAUUAUGAUGAAAAGACCAGGGACUUUAAAGGCGGAUGACAAGAUUUUGAAUCUUGCUUCUGCCACCUUAAUAACCGAGCCUCAGUUUCCUUCUGUAGCAUGGGGACAAUGAGGAGAUGCCUGGGUAGGGAGACUGUGUUUGUAAAUUAGGAUAUGUCAGCUGCCUGGCAUGGGGGAAGUCCUCGGUAAAUGUUAGCGUCCUUCUUUCGGGGAAAGAUCUGUCUUUUGGACAUUUGGUAGAUUGGCUGGGGGAGUGAAAUAUUUGCUUGUGACCAUUUUCCCAGGGAGAAGGGGUCUGGUUAACAAGCUGUAAUAGCCCUAAAGGGUUCUCCCUCCCCAGCUUGUUUUGAUUCUGGGAUCAAGCUUGGGGCUGGGGUCAGUUUCAGUGUGUGUCUGGGGUGGUGGCUGGGAGAGGGGCUACCCAGGCAUUUGCAAAAGGCUGAGAUCUGUGGCUUCCUAGGGCUGUGCAGAAGGUGUGGGGAAUAUGGUCUCAGUAAGGGGGUGGCCUUUCUGAGCUGUGAGAACUUGACAAGUUACUUCUAACCUUCAUUUCCUGUAAAUUCCCCAAAUUUCCUUCUAUUUUUGGUUUCUGAUUUUAUCUCAUUUCAAUUGGAGAACACACUUUGUAUGACUUCAGCCCUUUCAGAUUCAUUGAGGCUUGUUUCAUGGCCUAAUUUAUGAUCCUUCCAGGAGAAUACUCUGUGUCCCCUUGAGAAGAAUAUGUAUUCUCCUGUUGUUGGGUGAAAUGUUCUAUGGAUAUCUGUUAGGUCUGUUUGCUUUAUAGUGUUCAAGUCUUCUGUUUCCUUGUUGAUCUUUUGUUUAUUUGUUCUAUCCACUCUUGAAAGUGAAGGCUCCAAAUAUUAUUGUUGAAUUGUCUGUUUUCCCAUUCAGUUUUGAAAGUUUUUGCUUCGUGUGUUUUGGGGGCCCGGUUGUUAGGUACAAAUACGUUUGUAAUAUCCUGUUGAUGGAUAGACACUUUUAUUAUUAUGAAACAUUCUCCUUUGUCUCUAAGAGUUUUUGUCUUAAAACUUUUGUCUAAUAUUAGCUGAACCAUUCCAGCUCUCUUUUGGUUACUGUUAGCAUGGUAUACUUUUUUCCCCUUCCUUUUACUUUCAACCUAUUUGUGUCUUUGAAUAUAAAGUGUGUGUCUCUUGUUAACAGUUGGAUCAUGGUUUUGUUUUGUUUUUAUUCUAUUUCCCCAAUCUGUGCCUUUUAAUUGGGGUGUUUAGUCUGUUUACCUUUAAAAUAAUUAUUGAAAAGAUUAGAUUAUAUGUCUGCCAUUUUUGCUGUUUGAUUACCAUGUCUGAUGUCUUUUUUUGUUGUUCCUCUAUUACUCUAUUAAUAUUUUCUUUUGUGUUAAAUAGAUAUCAUUCCAGACCUGUAAAAUGGGACAAAGAAGAGCUUGGGUUAGAAUCCUGGCUCUUCCCUUGGGACCUCAGGCUGUGGCCUGGUAGAAGUUACUCUCCAGAGCUAACCUUUUCUCCUUUCUCAGGUAGGAAUAGGUGGUUGUACAAGUAAGCAAUACUCACACUCACUGGACACAUGAGCAGAGCUAGUGGCUACUCUGUAUUGUGGCUGUUGCUUGUCACAAAAGUGAUUCCUGGAUACAGGCCUUGGUCCCCUCUCCCUCGCUCCUAAAUUCCUCAAAGGCAGAAGAAACCAAUGAGUGGUGGGUUCUAGACCAGACAUGGUUACCUGACAACCAGUUCACCGUUUCUUCUCCAUUGGGCCACGUUGCCUCCAGGCCCUGCUUCUCCCAGCCUUGCUGCAGAAACAGAAGGGAACUGAAGAAGCCUUGUGGACUCGUGGUUAACACCGAGUAAAAGCACGCAGAUUCAGAAAGGGCGAGAACAGUGUGUGCUGGAGGGCUGCCUGGAGGAGGUAGGCUUUGAAGGGAGGCCGGUGGCAGCAGGGCUUCCAGGCAGAGUGAACUGCUCCAGCCAAGGUUCGAAGUCAGGGAAUUCUUCCCAGGGUCACCUAUUCCCUGCAUGUAUCUCGAGCCCCAGGACAGGCUACCUUGCAUUAUAAUUUAUUUGUGUUUCUGUUCUUCUCCCCCACUGGACUGGUAGCUCUGUGUGGGUAGGGACUGUACCUCAUCUCCUGUGUCUCCUCAGAGCCUGGCUUAUAGCCAGUUUUCACCAAAUGCUUGUUGAGUGAAUGAAGGGGCCGUGGGCAGGCCUGCAGGGCUACAGAAGGGUGUGUGUGUGAAAGAGAGGGGGAGCAGGCAGGGCAGGGCCACGAUGAGGGAGGUCCCUGCAAGUGGCCUUCUCUGUAUGUUAGUCUGGGGCAGAAUCUGGCACUGGGGCUCAGGCACAGACUCCAGGGAGCCCUGCCCUAGACCUGCCAGCAAGCAAGGCCCUUCCAGAAGAGGAGCCAGGCGCUUCCAGAAGGGGAGGGUGGAGCUGGAGCAGCCUCUGGUGGCGUGAACCCUGUAGGGCCUAGAGACAGUUGUGAAGUCCCCAUGAAGCCCUCUCCAGAGGCUCAGUCACUGAAGGGCUGGCUUCAGGGACACUUGCUUUGUCUCUUCUGGAGACAGCCCAAGCCUGCCAGCUUCCACUUUCCCCCGUCUGCCC